rnacentral:rRNA from 1 species
CACGUAGGGCGCAAGCGUUGUCCGGAAUUAUUGGGCGUAAAGAGCUCGUAGGCGGUCUGUUGCGUCCGCUGUGAAAACUCGGGGCUUAACCCCGAGCCUGCAGUGGAUACGGGCAGACUAGAGGUAGGUAGGGGAGAAUGGAAUUCCUGGUGUAGCGGUGAAAUGCGCAGAUAUCAGGAGGAACACCGGUGGCGAAGGCGGAUCUCUGGGCCGAUACUGACGCUGAGGAGCGAAAGCGUGGGGAGCGAACAGG